GUCAGCAGCCGCGGUAACACCGGCAGCUCUAGUGGUAGCUAAGUUUUAUGGGCCUAAAGCGUCCGUAGCCGGUUUAAUAAGUCUCGUGGUGAAAUCCUGUAGCUUAACGUGUGGGAAUUGCUGGAGAUACUAUUAGACUUGAGACCGGGAGAGGUUAGAGGUACUCCCAGGGUAGAGGUGAAAUUCUGUAAUCCUGGGAGGACCGCCUGUUGCGAAGGCGUCUAACUGGAACGGUUCUGACGGUGAGGGACGAAAGUUAGGGGCGCGAACCGGAUUAGAUACCCGGGUAGUCCUAAACUGUAAACGAUGCGGACUUGGUGUUGGGGUGGCUUUGAGCUGCUCCAGUGCCGAAGGGAAGCUGUUAAGUCCGCCGCCUGGGAAGUACGGUCGCAAGACUGAAACUUAAGGAAUUGGCGGGGGAGCACCACAACGCGUGGAGCCUGCGGUUUAAUUGGAUUCAACGCCGGACAUCUCACCAGAGGCGACAGCUGUAUGAUAGCCAGGUUGAUGACUUUGCUUGACUAGCUGAGAAGAGGUGCAUGG
rnacentral:rRNA from 1 species